rnacentral:rRNA from 1 species
GCCGCGAAUUCGCCCUUAGGGUUUGAUUAUGGCUCAGGACGAACGCUGGCGGCGUGCCUAAUACAUGCAAGUCGAACGCUUCUUUCCUCCCGAGUGCUUGCACUCAAUUGGAAAGAGGAGUGGCGGACGGGUGAGUAACACGUGGGUAACCUACCCAUCAGAGGGGGAUAACACUUGGAAACAGGUGCUAAUACCGCAUAACAGUUUAUGCCGCAUGGCAUAAGAGUGAAAGGCGCUUUCGGGUGUCGCUGAUGGAUGGACCCGCGGUGCAUUAGCUAGUUGGUGAGGUAACGGCUCACCAAGGCCACGAUGCAUAGCCGACCUGAGAGGGUGAUCGGCCACACUGGGACUGAGACACGGCCCAGACUCCUACGGGAGGCAGCAGUAGGGAAUCUUCGGCAAUGGACGAAAGUCUGACCGAGCAACGCCGCGUGAGUGAAGAAGGUUUUCGGAUCGUAAAACUCUGUUGUUAGAGAAGAACAAGGACGUUAGUAACUGAACGUCCCCUGACGGUAUCUAACCAGAAAGCCACGGCUAACUACGUGCCAGCAGCCGCGGUAAUACGUAGGUGGCAAGCGUUGUCCGGAUUUAUUGGGCGUAAAGCGAGCGCAGGCGGUUUCUUAAGUCUGAUGUGAAAGCCCCCGGCUCAACCGGGGAGGGUCAUUGGAAACUGGGAGACUUGAGUGC